AAAAGUUAACUAAUAAAAUAAAGAGUCAAAAUUUAACAAACACAGAGUCUUGUUAAAUCCACUUCAUCAUAUUUCCUUUGAGGGGUAUUUGGUUUUGAUUAUUUGUUCCAGAACCACUGGAAUAUGGGUGCUGGUUUUGGUCCCUUAAUGAAACUGUAGUUCAGUUGUCCUUAGUCUGAAUGAUUUUAUAUUCAUGCUCUACGGUUCAAGGGCAUGAAUGAUGGCAACCUGAGAGACAUCAGAGAUUUAUAUGUGUACUUAAUAUUUGUGAUUGUAUGUUUGUAUCUAUC
rnacentral:lncRNA from 1 species